UAAGUUUAGAUAUCCUCUGAACAUUCUGCAAUUUUUCACACAUUGCAUGUUAUAAAUAUUUUUGGAAAAUGAUUGAAAAAGGAAAGAUUCGGAAUUGAGUUUUGAUAUUCACUUUAAAAUUUCUUUCUUUGCAGACACUAAUGAAGUUAUGUGGAAAUGAGAGGAAUUCAUGAAGCCACUUCUGCAGGAGAAAAUAUCUUUCAUAAACAGAGUUCCAGAUCUGGAUUUUGGGGGGACACUUGACAGUGCAGCAGGGCCAUGUCUGCCUUCCGUGUCACCUUCAAUAACUCAUAGAUUGCCCAACAGUGAUGCUGGCCUUGGACACACAGAGUUUCACUCCAACAUCUUGUUUAUUUCUUUGGGGCAGAAGAGCUUGGACUAAUUGCUCUCCAUGGUGGCUAAUCUUUUCAAGAGCUUAAUUUUACCUUAUAUACAUAAGCUUUGCAGAGGAAUGUUUACAAAGAAAUUGGGAAAUACAACCAGAAAAAAGGAGAAUCGUCAGCAGAAAAAGGAUCAAGAUUUUCCUACUCCUGGCCAGACCAAAACUCCCACAUUUUCUAACACUUUGAAAAGCACCGUAAAGAGGAUUGCAAAGUGUUCAUCCACUCGAAACCUACCUACUGAAGAAGGUGAGACUAACAAAGACUUUUCCCUCUCACCAACAUUCAGUUACCGUGUUGCUAUUGCCAACGGCCUGCAGAAGAGCAUUCAUGUGACCAGCAGUGAUCAUGAGGGUCUGGCUCAAGAGCUGUCUUCCAUCGAGAGUUCUUACUCUGAAUCUUUAAAUGAAUUGAGGAGCAGUGCAGAGGACCAGACCCAUCCAGUGUGUACCAUGCCUGUGGGGCGGAGCAGGAAGAGCUCCAGCAGCCUUGCUCCCUCUGAGGGAAGCUCUGAUGGGGAACGCACACUACACAGCCUGAAGCUGGGGGCUUUAAAGAAGCUUCGGAAGUGGAAAAAGAGCCAGGAAUGUGUUUCCUCUGACCCAGAGCUGAGCACUGUGAAGAGAACCUGGGGGAUAAGGAGCAAGUCUUUGGACAGGGCUGCUCGCCGCCCCAAGACACCAGCCCUAGAGCCAGGGUUCAGCUCCUCUGGCUGCCUCAGCCACACACACGAUGUUAUGGAGAUGAUCUUCAAGGAACUGCAAGGGAUCAGCCAGAUUGAGACAGAGCUGUCUGAGCUGCGGGGCCAUGUGGAUGCCCUGAGGCUCUCCAUUGAUGAGAUCUCCAGCAGUGUGGAGGUGGUACAGAGCGAAAUUGAGCAGCUGCGGACAGGCUUCGUGCAGUCCCGGAGAGAGACCAGGGAUAUCCAUGACUACAUUCGAUGCCUGGGCCACACAGGCAGCAAGGCAAGCCUGAGGUUCUUAAAUGUGCCUGAAGAGAGAUUCGAGUACACUGAAAACAUGGUGUACCAGAUUCUAACAGACAAAAUGGGCUUCUCAGAUGCACCAAAUGCUGUGAAAAUUGAAUAUGCUCAGAGAGUGGGGCACCAAAGGGACUGUCCAAAUGCUAAACCUCGACCCAUACUCGUGUACUUUGAAACCCCUCAGCAGAGAGAUUCUGUCUUAAAAAAAUCAUACAAACUCAAAGGAACAGGCAUUGGAGUCUCAACAGAUAUUCUGACUUAUGAUAUCAGAGAAAAAAAAGAAAAAGUGAUACCAUCCUCCCAGACCUAUGAGAGUAUGGACAUGAAGUUGUCUACUCCAGAGCCCAAAGUGAAGAAGAGCAGUUGGCAUUCACCCGGUGACAGUGAGAGGGAGUUGGAAUCUGACUUCAACAGGAACAGUUAUGCUGUGCUUUCCAAGCCAGAGCUUCCAACCAAGGGGAGCACUUCCAAGUCAAGCUCAAAAUCACACAGUGUUAGAUCUAAGAAUAAAACUGUGAAUAGCAGCAGAAAUUCAAACAAGCCAGAUGAUGAUAAAGUAUCUUCACAAUUACCAGGAUCAAAUAACUUGGAAAAGCAAACCAUAGCCCAAUAUGCAGGUGCCACGCCCCUCUGGCACUCGCAGAGUGAUUUUUUCACUGCUAAACUCAGUCGCUCUGAAUCAGAUUUUUCCAAAUUAUGUCAGUCGUAUUCAGAAGAUUUUUCAGAAAAUCAGUGUUUUGCUAGAACUAAUGGGAGCUCCCUCCUGUCAUCCUCAGACAGAGAACUGUGGCAAAGGAAACAAGAAGGCACACCUGCCUUGUAUGACAGUCCUCAAGACCAGCAUCUGGGUAGGAGCACUCCAGAUGUCCAAGUGCAGAGUGAACUUCAGAACACAGACACUGUGGACAGUGGAAUGAGUAACAGCAUGGUGUAUGCAUCUGCAGACCGGAGUCAUUACAGUGACUCUCAGCUCUCUCUGCAUGAGGACCUCUCUCCAUGGAAGGAAUGGAAUCAAGUGGAGCAAGAAACUGAUUUAGGCUUGGAUUCAUCCACUCAGGAAGCUUUUAACUAUGACACCAACAGUCUAUCUGACCAACAGAUGGAUGUCUUCAAUAAAGACCUGGAAGACAUAGGAAAGUGCCACAGUGACCUUCAAGAUGACUCUGAAAGCUACGAUUUAACCCAAGAUGACAAUUCAUCCCCAUGCCCUGGAUUAGAUAAUGAACCCCGAGGCCAGUGGGCUGGCCAAUAUGAUUCUUACCAGGAAGCUAAUUCUAAUGAACUAUUCCAAAACCAAAGCCAGUUGUCCAUGAUGUAUCGAAGUCAAAGUGAAUUGCAAAGUGAUGAUUCAGAGGAUGUCCCACCCAAAUCUUGGCAUAGCCGACUAAGCAUUGAUCUUUCUGAUAAGACUUUCAGCUUCCCAAAAUUUGGAUCUACACUGCAGAGGGCUAAAUCAGCCUUGGAGGUAGUGUGGAACAAAAGCACACAGAGUCUCAGUGGGUAUGAGGACAGUGGCUCCUCCCUAAUGGGAAGAUUUCGGACACUGUCUCAAUCAACUGCAAAUGAGUCCAGUACUACUCUUGACUCAGAUGUCUACACAGAGCCCUAUUACUACAGAGCAGAGGAUGAGGAGGACUAUAGUGAGCCAGUGGUGGACAAUGAGACAGAUUAUGUUGAAGUGAUGGAACAAGUCCUUGCUAAACUAGAAAACAGGACUAGUGUUAUGGAAACAGAUGAGCUAAUGCAGGAAUAUGAUCCUCCUUUGUAUGAGACACCAUAUGAAACCCCACAGGAUGAGGGUUAUGAAGGGCAGGCAAAUGAUGUGGUCAGUGAAGGGGAGCUAGAACCUGUAACUGAACUAGCAGCUGAAAUGCUAAUACAAGAAGAUGAAAACCAAAACAUCCCUGAACAGCCGCUGGAAAUCACAAAGCCAAAGAGAAUUCGUCCCUCUUUCAAAGAAGCAGCUCUAAGGGCCUAUAAGAAGCAAAUGGCAGAAUUGGAAGAGAAGAUCCUGGCUGGAGGUCAUCGUGCAAACACAAAAAUACCUCUGAAGGGCUUGGAACAAUGCUCAUCAUUGGCCGAGCAAUCAAAAUAGGUCAAGAAUUACUUUGCCAUUUCAGCAUCUAUUGACAAAAGCCCGCAGUUUCUGAGGGAAAUGUGAUGAAGAGCAGAGUGGACCUCGGCCCAGUUCUCCAACUGGGGCACCAGAGGCUGCGAGGACUUGGACCUCACGGGAGAGCUCUUUUCCUACUUUCAUCGGGGCCCCACGGUGCUUCUCAGAGCUUAGGUGUAAAAUCUCUUGCCGGAUUUCUGAUUAGCAGAGGACCGACUCCGUGAGCAUUCAGAUGGUGCCCGAAAUAGCUUUGAUUUGAGGGCAGCGUCUGAGAGCGGCUGGGAAACAGCUGUCUGCAGAUGAGUAAUUCAAUGUCAUCUGAGGAAGGAGGCCGUCUCAAGCACAGCUCGGGCCAUGGAACAUUUCUGGCUCUUCCUCCAGCCAACACGUCUGUCCUGGGGAAUGAUGCUGUCAGAGAGGAGACUAGCAGUGAGAUUUGUGGGAGCCAUAACGUGUCCCAACCUGCUUUGUACAUCUCAGUCUCGUAUGAAGGAGCGGGGCUUGGCCUUCUAAGAAAUCCCAGCACUGCAGAGUGAGAAGUUGGAGGCCUGGACCCAAAUUACUGCCAGAACGCCUUUCUCACACUCUGAAAGCUUCAUUGUUGAUUCAUAUCACCAAGUACGGUAUGUGAGAACUGAGCAUCGAGGAGCUGUGCACUGAUCUCGACGUGGCCUGUGGGGGUAACGGUUACAGUGACUUCUCAGUUCCAGUCAGUUCCAGUACCAACAGGGGUCUGGGAAAAUGAGUAAGCACCCGCACACGGCUGUGAAUCAUUCGUUCCCAUGAAAGAGGAAAGAUGCAAAGACCACACACAGACUGAAGGAAGGAAGAGAGCUCUGACCCCAGAGGGCAGCAGGUAAAGGGUACACACUGCCCAUCCAUCCUCUCGGGGUUGGCAGUGUUCAGGAAGCAGCCUUGGGCACACGGUGACAGAGUGGCCUGUCACUGGUCACUGGCUGCUGCUCCUCCCAUGAGACAGAGGCACGGGCUGCACCUCAGAGCUCCACUGGGCUCUCCGUGAGUUUGCUCUGCCCCGUGUCUCAUAUGAGUUUUGAAAUUCUAGAUUUUAGAAUAAUAAGAGUAGCUAUCUUUUAUCUCAAAGAGGCUAAAGCAAUUUUGAACAAUGCAAUGUCUCUUAGGGUAUUUACGGAUCCGGGAAGCAGCUUGUGUGGCCUGUGACUCUCAUAAGGAGGGCAGGACCUAACAGAGAACUUCCACGUCUUACGGCCGCUCUCUGGAGAUGGAAAUCCCGCAGCUACAGGGCCCGGCUCUCUCAUGCCCUGCUGUUCAGAUGGACUUUGCUUGCACUUUGCAUGUUGAAGCUUAAGCCACAUUUUCCCGCUUCUCUGCUAGCCGAAGUUAUCUUCACUCUGUGGCUGGAUGGUGGUGAUAUCCAGGAAGAGAGGCUGGAGGGUUAUGGCCUUUGUAAGCAAACAAGUCUCUUUCCUCCUAUCUUCACUCCUGGGUGGGAGCCAGGACAGGGGGACAUGGGGAUGAAGCCCAGCCACUCUGGGGCUUCACUGGUUCUUGUCUGGGUUCUCUGGCCGGGGAGGCUUCCAGAAUUUGCAGGCAAGUGCCCCAAAGCUGCCCCUCACGGACUGUUUCCCUUGAGGGUUUUUCUUCCUCUGUUGGGACCCUGCACUCCCUCUCCUGUGUUCUGGCUUCUGCACAUGUCCUGGCUCGCUGGACUGAUGCGUGGCCCUGCUGACCAGUGCCCUGUAAGAACCAUUUUUCCUUGGGCUUUGUAUUACCCGAAACUGAGGCUUCAAUUUCAGAAUACUUUUUUAAAAUUGUAACUUUAUUGACAUAAUUCACAAGCCAUAAAAUCAAUCCUUUUGCAGUGUAAAAUUCAGUAAUUUUAAGCAUAUACUAAAAAUGAGUCUAAUUUUAGAGCAUUUCUUCACCCUAAAAUGAAACCCCAUGCCAGUUAGCAGUCAGUUCCCAUUCACCUGUCUUCUCUGGUACCAAAAACCAUCCCUCUACUUUUGUCUCUGUGGAGCACCCUGUUCUGGACGCUUGGUAAGAAUUGCCUCAUGCAAUUUAUGGCCAUUUGCAUCUGAUUUCUUUCACAUCACAUCACAUUUUCAAGCUUCAUCCUUGAUGGGGCAUUAUCAGUACUGCAUCCCUUUUCUGUGGCUGAGUAAUAUUUCCUUGUAUGCAUAAACCAAGUUUGUUUUUUCUUUUAUCUGUUGAUGGACCAAUGGAUAAAGUCAUUCCUACUCUCUAGCUGUCAGGAAUAAUGAAUGCCAUGUAUAGGUUGUUAUGUGCACGUAUGUUAAAGUUCUCUUGCGUCUUUGUCUAAAAUUAAAAUUACUGGGUCAUAGGGAACUCUCUUUCACUUCCUAGGGAAUCCCCGACCUGCCUUCCAAAGUGAUGCCACAGUUUCACAGCCCUGCGAGCCACAUCCUCAUUAGCCCUUGUUACCCUCUGGGUUUCCAUUGUAGCCAUCUUAUUGUUUUGGUGACAUCACUUGGUGUAUUUUUAUUUUUAUUUAUUUAUUUAUUUUUUGUUUGUUUGUUUGUUUGGUGCCAGGGAUCGAACGAACUCAGAUCCUUCCGCUUGCGCAGCAGGCAGCGAAACCACUGAGCCAAAUCCCUGGCCCACUUGGUGUGUUUUUAAAAAUAAAUUGUAUUGUGUAUAUUUGAGUUUUACAAGAUGUUUUGGGAUACAUACAGAUAGCAAAAUUGUUAAAUAGAGAAGCAGACCAACUUAUCUACAUUUCACAUAGGUACUUUUUCCUGAUUUGCAUUUCCUAAAGACUAGUAAUGUUUUCAAGUGUGCUUAUUCUCUAUAUGUAUAAUUCUUUGGGAGAAAUGUGUAUUCAAACUCUUUGCCUAUUUUUUAGUUUGUCUGUUCAUCUUCUAUGUAUUGUACAGUUAGAGAUUUUUAAAUUUUUUUGUUAUAAGUCCUUUGUGAGAUAUAUGAUUUGAAAUGUUUUCUCUUAAUCUUUG
rnacentral:lncRNA from 1 species